rnacentral:tRNA from 2 species
GCGGAACUAGCUCAGCUGGUAGAGCGUCGCCUUGCCAAGGCGAAGGUCGCCGGUUCGAACCCGGUGUUCCGCUCCA